GUCGAAGGUGGGGCUGAUGACUGGGGUGAAGUCGUAACAAGGUAUCCGUACCGGAAGGUGCGGAUGGAUCACCUCCUAACAGGGAGACAACACAAUGAUUUUGAUGCCUGAGUGCUUUUAUUCUUAGGCCGAAAUCCUGUCACCUUAGGUCGAUCGGUACCUCAGCUUUGAAGUCAAGGAUUAGCAGCAAUGUUGAUUGCUUGAUGGAGAUUUUCAGUUCCUAAACUUUGUCUAGGUCACACCCCAAAAGGGAUGAGACUCCUGGGCCAUUAGCUCAGGUGGUUAGAGCGCACCCCUGAUAAGGGUGAGGUCCCUGGUUCAAGUCCAGGAUGGCCCAUUCGGUGUUGGGGGUUUAGCUCAGUUGGUAGAGCGCCUGCUUUGCAAGCAGGAUGUCAGGAGUUCGAGUCUCCUAACCUCCACUUACCGAACUUGAUUCCCAUCUCCAAUUUUUUGGAGUUGAGCUCGAUUGGAGUGUGAUUUAGAUGUGUCCGCUGGAUGACCCCAGCUUCCUGUCAUUCCAAGUUUUAGGUUGAAGCCUUGAAUUUGGUUGAUAAGAUGCUGGGCUCGAAUCAAAUGAUCAAGCAAUUGAUGAUUUGAUUUGAAGUUCUAGCAGAACCUUGACAACUGCAUAGGUGAGUCUGGAAAAAACAAAGCAUCUUACAGAUGCAUUGUUUUGAAUCUGAUCUUCUGAAAGGGAGAUUAGAUCUAGAACAAUGAAAAUUCUUUUGAGCAAGAGCCGAGACUCUUGAACGUUCUUUGAUUCGUGUCGAGCGAAUCAGAGUCUGAUUUUGUUUUUAGCAAUAAAAACUUGAGAAUCUGCUUUCAACGGCGGUAAGCGUUCAGGAGGUUAAUUGGUCAAGCUACAAAGGGCUCA
rnacentral:misc_RNA from 1 species